GGCGGUGAUGGUGUAGGGGUUAAGCGUGCGACCAUGUAGGAGGCUACAGUCCUCAAAGCGGCUGUCCAGGGUUCGAGUCCUGGACCCGCCG